rnacentral:lncRNA from 1 species
GGACUGGAAGGCAGGCAUACAUUCCCCGAAGUGCGGGAGGAAAGGGCUAACCUGUGCCCGGUGUCCUGGACCCGCCUGCCGACGCGUGGUGCCGGAGCUGCGCUCCCAGCACGGGCUGCAGCGUCGGGGUUGGACAUCGCCGCAGAGCUGUCGCAGUGUGCGGAGGCUCUGCGGUGGGAGCGGCCUUUUCUUUAGAAAUGAGGAAGUUUGUGGUGGGUUCUCUUUGAGUUGACUUUUUUUUUUUUUAAUAGAUUUUCUUUUUUAUGCCGUCAGAAUCCUGGUGGAGGCGGAUUAAAGAAAAGAACUUGACUGCUCACCAGGAAUUCGGGUUCCUUAAGAUCUUGGCGCUUCACCCUUAAAACCAUACAGGGCUGAUUGUUUCCAGAUCCUGACCCGGUGACAUUCCUCCCUCCGAAGUUGGCCUUGGCCCAGACAUCUUUUCAAGAAAAGCAAUUGAAUUAAGAGGUGGAAAAUAAAUUACGUGAAUUAAACUUUAGACAUGUAAAAUCCAGUGUGCUGUUGAAUGAAGAACGUACUGGACUUUCUGCUAAUCUUAGCUCCAUUCAUCUUUAAGACUCAGCUCCCUUGAUCCUAUAAAAACAGACAUGAUGCCUAAGGUAUAUUGAGUGUGUGUUUGGAGGAUGGAGAAAUUAAGGAAUGGGGACCUUGAUGACAAG